UGGGGAAUAUUGCACAAUGGGGGAAACCCUGAUGCAGCGACGCCGCGUGAACGAAGAAGGUAUUCGUAUCGUAAAGUUCUGUCCUAUGGGAAGAUAAUGACAGUACCAUAGAAGAAAGCUCCGGCUAAAUACGUGCCAGCAGCCGCGGUAAUACGUAUGGAGCGAGCGUUGUCCGGAAUUAUUGGGCGUAAAGGGUACGCAGGCGGUUUAAUAAGUCGAAUGUUAAAGAUCGGGGCUCAACCCCGCAAAGCAUUGGAAACUGAUAAACUUGAGAAGUGGAGAGGAAAGUGGAAUUCCUAGUGUAGUGGUGAAAUACGUAGAUAUUAGGAGGAAUACCAGUAGCGAAGGCGACUUUCUGGACACAAACUGACGCUGAGGUACGAAAGCGUGGGGAGCAAACAGG
rnacentral:rRNA from 1 species